GACGAACGCUGGCGGCGUGCUUAGCACAUGCAAGUCGAACGGAAGGGCCCUGCUUUUGUGGGGUGCUCGAUUGGCGAACGGGUGAGUAACACGUGAGUAACCUGCCCUUGACUUUCGGAUAACUUCAGGAAACUCGGGCUCAUACCGGAUAUGAUCUCCUGCUGCGUGGUGGUGAUUGGAAAAUUUCGGCGGUGCGGGCUGGACUCGCGGCUUAUCCGCUUGUUUGUGUGGUAGUUGCUUACCAAGGCUUUGACGGGUAGCCUGCAUGAGAGGUUGACCAGGCACAUGGGGCCUGAGAUACGGCCCAGUCUCCAACGGGCGGCAGCAGUGGGGAACAUGGCACAACGGGCGGAAGCCAGAGGCAGAAAUGCCGCGUGCGGGAUGACGGCUUUCGGGUUGUAAACCGCUUUCGCCUGUGACGAAGCGUGAGUGACGGUAAUGGGUAAAGAAGCACCGGCUAACUACGUG
rnacentral:rRNA from 1 species